rnacentral:rRNA from 1 species
CGGACGGGUGAGUAACACGUAGAUAACCUACCUAUAAGACUGGGAUAACUUCGGGAAACCGGAGCUAAUACCGGAUAAUAUAUUGAACCGCAUGGUUCAAUGGUGAAAGACGGUUUUGCUGUCACUUAUAGAUGGAUCCGCGCCGCAUUAGCUAGUUGGUAAGGUAACGGCUUACCAAGGCAACGAUGCGUAGCCGACCUGAGAGGGUGAUCGGCCACACUGGAACUGAGACACGGUCCAGACUCCUACGGGAGGCAGCAGCG